GGCUUAGAGUUUGAUCCUGGCUCAGAUUGAACGCUGGCGGCAGGCCUAACACAUGCAAGUCGAGCGGAUGAAGAGAGCUUGCUCUCUGAUUCAGCGGCGGACGGGUGAGUAAUGCCUAGGAAUCUGCCUAUUAGUGGGGGACAACGUUUCGAAAGGAACGCUAAUACCGCAUACGUCCUACGGGAGAAAGCAGGGGACCUUCGGGCCUUGCGCUAAUAGAUGAGCCUAGGUCGGAUUAGCUAGUUGGUGAGGUAAAGGCUCACCAAGGCGACGAUCCGUAACUGGUCUGAGAGGAUGAUCAGUCACACUGGAACUGAGACACGGUCCAGACUCCUACGGGAGGCAGCAGUGGGGAAUAUUGGACAAUGGGCGAAAGCCUGAUCCAGCCAUGCCGCGUGUGUGAAGAAGGUCUUCGGAUUGUAAAGCACUUUAAGUUGGGAGGAAGGGCAGUAAGUUA
rnacentral:rRNA from 1 species